ACGGGCGCCAACCGCCAGCUGUCAGCCGCCGAGGAAGCCAGCUCCGGUGGCAGAUAAGCUCGCCCUGGGGAAGGGAUUCGAGGCAAAAAAGGGCAGGACGAGGCUCUUCUGGGGGCUUCUUGAAGCCAAGAAAGCUGCUGGCUUGGGCUGGGGGCCAGCAGCUUGCAGGUGGAGCCAGCACCGCUACCGGCGGCAGGUUUAAGUGGAGUGUAAACAAGCUAACGGUCACUCGCCGAGGAGGGCAGCUCCAGUGGCAGGCUCUUGCUCCUUGCUUUGACUGGUAGCAUUCACAAGUACAUUUACAGCAAACACAGGGGUUCUUUCCACUCUCAAAGCAGCAAAAAGCUGCUCCAAAAGCAGCGGGAGGUGCGGAGCCACAGUGACCUCAGCUGGCGCCAGCGAGACCAUGCGGUGCCACUAACCACGUCCAGAGCUCCACCUUGCUGUACUUCCAGCUUGAGAUUGCCAAGCACCUUUCUGCCCUGUGGUUCUGCUUCUGCUUGCUGUUAGAAAUCCAGGUGCUAUAGCCCAUACUGGACUGAGAUGGUCUUCAAGUCCCUGUUCUCAUCUCUUCUGAGAAACGAGGUUCAGAAUGGCCACUUUUCACCGGGUAAAGAUAUAUGACAGCAGCUAGGCAGAUGUCAGCUGGUACUGGUGAGAAGAGUUGCAAUUGAUGUUAGAAUAUUUUUUUGAAGGCACUUUUAGGAGAUGUUUUGAACAGGUGUCCCCAACAUUUAGUAAUAUAAGCAUCUUAUGCUGAUGUCAGCCUUAAAUUUAAGGGGGAGAGAUGUCUUGAAAUAAAUACUUCUCAGUAAAACCCUUUAUGAAGUAAAUGCAUCUUAUAAAAAUUACAAAAUGUUCUGUAGCACAUUAUUAUAUU